UGAACGCUAGCGGCAGGCUUAACACAUGCAAGUCGAGGGGCAUCGGGAGUAGCAAUACUUGCCGGCGACCGGCGCAAGGGUGCGUAACGCGUGAGCAACAUGCCCGUAUCAGGGGGAUAAUCCAUGGAAACGUGGUCUAAUACCCCAUAGUAAUUAUGUAAGGCAUCUUAUAUAAUUUAAAGCUUUGGUGGAUACGGAUUGGCUCGCGUGACAUUAGCUGGAUGGUAAGGUAACGGCUUACCAUGGCUACGAUGUCUAGGGGUUCUGAGAGGAAGGUCCCCCACACUGGAACUGAGACACGGUCCAGACUCCUACGGGAGGCAGCAGUGAGGAAUAUUGGACAAUGGAUGGAAAUCUGAUCCAGCCAUGCCGCGUGCAGGAAGACGGCCCUAUGGGUUGUAAACUGCUUUUGUAUGGGAGCAAUAAGGGCUACGUGUAGUCCGAUGAGAGUACCAUACGAAUAAGCACCGGCUAACUCCGUGCCAGCAGCCGC
rnacentral:rRNA from 1 species